rnacentral:rRNA from 1 species
GAUGAACGCUGGCGGUAUGCUUAACACAUGCAAGUCGAACGCAGACUUUCGGGUCUUAGUGGCCGACGGGUGAGUAACGCGUGAGAAUUUGGCUUCAGGUUGGGGACAACCACGGGAAACGGUGGCUAAUACCCAAUGUGCCGUUAAGGUGAAAGAUUAAUUGCCUGAAGAUGAGCUCGCGUCUGAUGAUCUUGGUGGUGGGGUAAGAGCUCACCAAGGCGACGAUCAGUAGCUGUUCUGAGAGGACGAUCAGGCACACUGGGGCUGGGACACGGGCCAGACUGCUUCGGGAGGAAGGGGCGGGGGAUUGUCCGAGAAGGGCGAAAGGCUUGAUGAAGCAUUCCGGGUGGGGGAAGGAGGGUAUUGGGGUAGAAAACUUUUUUAUGAAGGAAGAAGGGAAUGGACGUUACCGAAGAAUAAGGCCCCGCCAACUCCGUG